rnacentral:rRNA from 1 species
UACGUAGGGUGCAAGCGUUGCCCGGAUUUAUUGGGCGUAAAGGGCGCGUAGGCGGCUCUGCACGUCCGUUGUGAAAUCGCCCGGCUCAACUGGGCGGGGUCAGCGGAUACGGCAGAGCUUGAGCAAGCUAGGGGGCAAUGGAAUUCCCGGUGUAGUGGUGGAAUGCGUAGAUAUCGGGAGGAACACCAGUGGCGAAGGCGAUCACCUGGGGUUGUUCUGACGCUGAGGAGCGAAAGCUAGGGGAGCAAACGGG